UGGCGGGAGCUGCAGAGGAGCUGGCCACAGAGAUACGACCACGAGACUUCGUAGACACAAAGCAAGCCGGGUCUUGUACUAGCCUUGGAAUAAGAGAUUGGGGAUUCCAGCUCUCACAGGAAAUCGUCUGUCGGCGCUUGUUGGCGAAGGACAGAUCGGAUGCGCGGGUUGACAACGAGGCCUUGGAUUCGGCCAGUUCCACUUCCACUCACCCCCAACCAGCCGUGGCCCCCACGUGUUCGGACCCACACCUUGAGCAGGCAGCCGUGAAAUGGGGCCCUGUCUGGGAACUGUUGGCAGGCCGGAUGGAAACAGCAAAAGCGUGGUCCUCGUUAGCUGGGAUGACGCUAGCUAGCCCGUCGUCUCUGGGGAGCAUGCUUGGCUGCUGCUGCUGCUGCUACUGCCGGGAGGCCGAGAAAAGGAAAGGUGAAACAUAACCAGCUCUGGGGCCAAGGAUUAAAUCAGAGACAGCUUAUCAGCAGCUGCGACAACAACCGCCGACCUCCAGGUCACCCAACCCACUGACCUAUUCUGACCAGGGAGGCCGGACCACAUAAUUCUCUUGACCCCCAACGCAUCCCUCCCCUCCCACCCUCUUUCUCUUCCCCUGUUGGGAAACAGGGGCAGAUCAAGGGGUGGGUGGGGUGAUGGGCGGGAUGGUGACCUGGAGAAUAUAAGGAGUGGGGAAAAUUCCAGUGUGUUUGAAUCUCUUCACGUCCACCCUGGAAUCGGGGAUCGCAGCUCACAUUCUCCCCACACAAACCCAGCCCCUGUGACACGCCUGGAAUGCUGAGCCUUUUUACUUCUUCCCCAAUUUAGGGCCAGAGGCUGGACCGGGGAGAGGGAGGCGCUGCAGCUGAUGAAGACGAGGCUGAGAAAUUCUGAGAUGAUCAAGAUCUGCAAUUGUGUGGACCUGUGUAGUUGAAGACCUCUCACCGUGCGUCCAUCUCUUACCCUACUUCCAAACCAGUGCAGAUCAUCAGCAGGAGUGUGGAUGUGCCGGAUGGCGUGAGCGUACCUUGGAAUCACCCACCGAGAGAUUCGAGGCACAGUCGCCUUCGGCUGGGGACAGUUAUCGCCCGACAUCCGCCGCCGCUGCCUGCAAGACAUGCUGGCUGAAACCCCAGCACUCCUGGAAUCUCUCAAACUGUCAGCCGCAACAGGAAGAUAAAUAAAAGGCAGGGGGGGGGGGGCACGAAAGCACAAUGGCUAACUGAAAAACUCACCCCUGCGAAUGGCCGAUUGGGAGCCGGCCUGCGGUGCGCGCUUUGGCAGGCAGCGGCACGACAAUGGCGUUUCUGAAAUAACAUAAGAGAGCCUGAGCUACGGUGAAAUGCUGGUGGUUAGCAUUGUCUUUGUAGCGAUUCUUUGACUUCCCUAUGACAAAUCCCAGUAACACAGACACUUGGCAGACCAGAGUGGGACACUUUGUGCUAUAGAGGGUCCUGCACAUGAGAAGCCAAAAAGAACCUUUAAAAAACGAAGCAAGAUGUAAUGCAGCUUUUUUAUGCUCAUUCUGGGCCUGUGGUAGCUGCAGUGGCAAGGAUUUGUAUCCCAGCUACACUGAAAGGACUGCUGAAUUGGAUGGAGCUUUAAAGUAGAGCAAGAAAGCUCUGGAAAAUCGGCCCUCAAAGGCACAUUUCAACUGGAAAGCGUUUCUUUUAAGCUGUCACUUCUUGGUAGUUGACAAUCCUAUUAUGGCACCAACUCAUUGUAAUCAAGAGGGAGAUGAGAUAUAUCGGCAAAAACACAUUCAUCGGACCAUCUAAGGUACAGAGAACUUUGUUGUUGUUCUGUGUUUGCGGGCAAACGUAGUGCUGAGCAACCAGAUCACCCUAUUUGCAUUGACAUGUGAGUGAUGCAAACAGAAUCCAGAAGCCAAUUUCCUUUUCCUUUUUUUCUGUCCCUGCAUCCCUCCACUUGCCGGCACCGCUUUAAAAAGACGUAAUGGAAAAUAGGUUUUAUGGCUUUUCUUCUCCCUCGUUUUUUUAGAGGUCAGAGAAAUGGAGCCUUCAAAAGAAAAUCCUGCGGAAGUAACGAUCCCUCACCUCAUCAACUCUUCUGCUGAAGUCUAAAUAUGCUUUGCGCUGAAAUUGCACCCAAAGCCAUAUAUAAAGCGGUUGGGAAGGGAUUGUGAACGGCAAGUCCAUAUGCUGCCAUUUAUUUGCCUGAUAAUAAAAGGAUUGUAUUUCUUUCUUCGUCACCCUCUGCACAAUGGGCAGCUUUUGAAGCAGAGACAGAUGAUGGAGUGGUAUCGGCUACCAACGUAGUAGUAGAGAUGUCCUAAAAUGUAUCACUGCUGACAGUAAUUCAAAGUGCAUUGAAUGUGCAUUGUAGGUAAAAGGUGUA
ensembl:lncRNA